rnacentral:rRNA from 1 species
GACGAACGCUGGCGGCGUGCUUAACACACGCAAGUCGAACGGAAAGGCCCUGCUUUUGUGGGGUGCUCGAGUGGCGAACGGGUGAGUAACACGUGAGUAACCUGUCCUUGACUUUGGGAUAACUUCAGGAAACUGGGGCUAAUACCGGAUAGGAGCUCCUGCUGCAUGGUGGGGGUUGGAAAGUUUCGGCGGUUGGGGAUGGACUCGCGGCUUAUCAGCUUGUUGGUGGGGUAGUGGCUUACCAAGGCUUUGACGGGUAGCCGGCCUGAGAGGGUGACCGGCCACAUUGGGACUGAGAUACGGCCCAGACUCCUACGGGAGGCAGCAGUGGGGAAUAUUGCACAAUGGGCGGAAGCCUGAUGCAGCAACGCCGCGUGCGGGAUGACGGCCUUCGGGUUGUAAACCGCUUUCGCCUGUGACGAAGCGUAAGUGACGGUAAUGGGUAAAGAAGCACCGGCUAACUACGUG